rnacentral:rRNA from 1 species
GUAGAGUAACGCGUGAGUAACCUGCCUUACACAAGGGGAUAGCCUUUGGAAACGAAGAAUAAUACCCUAUAAAACCAUAAAAGCACAUGCUAGAAUGGUCAAAGUGAUAGCGGUGUAAGAUGGACUUGCGUCUGAUUAGCUAGUUGGUGAGAUAAAAGCUCACCAAGGCAACGAUCAGUAGCCGGCUUGAGAGAGUGUACGGCCACAUUGGGACUGAGACGCGGCCCAG